UACGAAGGGGGCUAGCGUUGUUCGGAAUUACUGGGCGUAAAGCGCGCGCAGGCGGUCUUCCAAGUCAGUGGUGAAAGCCCGGAGCUCAACUCCGGAAUUGCCAUUGAAACUGUUGGACUUGAGGAUGAGAGAGGUGAGUGGAAUUCCCAGUGUAGAGGUGAAAUUCGUAGAUAUUGGGAAGAACACCAGUGGCGAAGGCGACUUACUGGACACAUAUUGACGCUGAGGUGCGAAAGCGUGGGGAGCAAACAGG
rnacentral:rRNA from 1 species